rnacentral:rRNA from 1 species
GACGAACGCUGGCGGCGUGCUUAACACAUGCAAGUCGAACGGAAAGGCCCUGCUUUUGUGGGGUGCUCGAGUGGCGAACGGGUGAGUAACACGUGAGUAACCUGCCCUUGACUUUGGGAUAACUUCAGGAAACUGGGGCUAAUACCGGAUAGGAGCUCCUGCUGCAUGGUGGGGGUUGGAAAGUUUCGGCGGUUGGGGAUGGACUCGCGGCUUAUCAGCUUGUUGGUGGGGUAGUGGCUUACCAAGGCUUUGACGGGUAGCCGGCCUGAGAGGGUGACCGGCCACAUUGGGACUGAGAUACGGCCCAGACUCCUACGGGAGGCAGCAGUGGGGAAUAUUGCACAAUGGGCGGAAGCCUGAUGCAGCAACGCCGCGUGCGGGAUGACGGCCUUCGGGUUGUAAACCGCUUUCGCCUGUGACGAAGCGUGAGUGACGGUAAUGGGUAAAGAAGCACCGGCUAACUACGUGCCAGCAGCCGCGGUGAUACGUAGGGUGCGAGCGUUGUCCGGAUUUAUUGGGCGUAAAGGGCUCGUAGGUGGUUGAUCGCGUCGGAAGUGUAAUCUUGGGGCUUAACCCUGAGCGUGCUUUCGAUACGGGUUGACUUGAGGAAGGUAGGGGAGAAUGGAAUUCCUGGUGGAGCGGUGGAAUGCGCAGAUAUCAGGAGGAACACCAGUGGCGAAGGCGGUUCUCUGGGCCUUUCCUGACGCUGAGGAGCGAAAGCGUGGGGAGCGAACAGGCUUAGAUACCCUGGUAGUCCACGCUGUAAACGGUGGGUACUAGGUGUGGGGUCCAUUCCACGGGUUCCGUGCCGUAGCUAACGCUUUAAGUACCCCGCCUGGGGAGUACGGCCGCAAGGCUAAAACUCAAAGGAAUUGACGGGGCCCCGCACAAGCGGCGGAGCAUGCGGAUUAAUUCGAUGCAACGCGUAGAACCUUACCUGGGUUUGACAUGGAUCGGGAGUGCUCAGAGAUGGGUGUGCCUCUUUUGGGGUCGGUUCACAGGUGGUGCAUGGCUGUCGUCAGCUCGUGUCGUGAGAUGUUGGGUUAAGUCCCGCAACGAGCGCAACCCUUGUUCACUGUUGCCAGCACGUUAUGGUGGGGACUCAGUGGAGACCGCCGGGGUCAACUCGGAGGAAGGUGGGGAUGACGUCAAGUCAUCAUGCCCCUUAUGUCCAGGGCUUCACGCAUGCUACAAUGGCUGGUACAGAGAGUGGCGAACUCGCGAGGGUAAGCGAAUCUCUUAAAGCCAUUCUCAGUUCGGAUUGUAGGCUGCAACUCGCCUACAUGAAGCCGGAAUCGCUAGUAAUCGCGGAUCAGCACGCCGCGGUGAAUACGUUCCCGGGUCU